GCCCCAGCCCUGGCUGACAUUCUCACUGCAAUCUUGUGAGAAACCCAGAGCCAGAAGACCCAGCUAAACUGCCCCCAAAAUCCUGACCCACAGAAUCUGUGAGAUCACAAAUGUUCGUUAUAAUGUCACUUCAUUGGGAGGUAAUUUAUUACACAUCAAUAGAUAACUAAUAUACAUGCUAUUAGAAAUCUGAUUUAUAUAUAUCAGACUUUUUUCAUUAUCCGAUGUAAGUAGUGAUAGUGUUCUAAUGAAAGAGUCAGCUCUAUUUCCCCGGGACCCAGCAUAAUGCCUGAACCAUGAUAUUGGCUAAAAAAAUAUAUUUAUUGCAUAAAUGAUCUAAUGAGCACUUUCCAGUUCUCUAAAACUUCCUUAAUCACCACCACUGCCAAUGAGUUGGGGUAUCAAUUGAGUUCUGUCUGAGUCUGUCCAGGCUUCUGUAACAGAAUACCAUAGACUGGGCAACUUGUAAAGGCAGAAUUUAUUUCUCAUAGUUUUGGAGGCAGAAAGUUCAAGAUCAAGGCCCUGGCAGUUUCGGACUCUGGUGAGGGCCUCCUUCAUGGUUCAUAUGGUCAUCUUCUCGCUGUAUCCUUACAUGGUAAAAGGGGCAAAAGACUUCUCUGGGGCCUCUUAUAAGGGCACUAGUUCAAUUCAUGAGAGAUCUACUGUUUUGACCUCAUUACCUCCCAAAGGCCCUGCCUCCAAAUAUCGGCACACUGGGCAUUAGGAUUUAACAUACAAAUUUGGGGAGAACACAAGCGUUCAGUCUAUAGCAGGUUUGUUGGUGACUGACUUAGGUAAACUUAAUCAGGAGAGCUAUCUAUUGAAAGGGUAACAGGUAGCUCACAGAAUUGAGGAAGGCUAGGGAAGGGUGUUCAGUGAAGGCACGAGCACCCAGAGUGGCUACAGUCUGUUGAAGCUCAGUGAAGUUCCUGCCCCGGGGACACUGAUCAGGACAUCAUAUUGUAGGAGACUUGGGCUCUGCUAGACUUUGGAUUCUCCCACGGCCACUGUGCAUGAUCUCUUGCCAUUCUGGAGUUGUGCAUUCUUCCCUGAAGACCUCAAGUUCAGAGUGGAGUUAUCAGUUGACUGAGCUGAGGUCAUAUGCCUGUGCCCCCUGCCAGGGUACAAAGGCAAGGACUGUCUGCGCACCUUUUGGUAGACUGAGAACUGCAUGAGUUGCUAAGGAAACCAAAAAAAAUAAAACGUAAUUCUUCCUUCAGGAGCUCAAGGUCCAGCAAAGAAGGAAAACUUCUUAAAAAAAGAUAAGCACAAUCCUGAGAGGACAGUCAAAGGGCUGGACGGCACAACAAGUGGAGAGCUAGAUGCUGCUUGAGAAGAUUGAAGCAGGCUUCACGGAGGAGGUGAUGUUCAACCUGGGUCCUGAGGGAUGAAUCGGGUUUUGCCAGGAGAAGUGGGGAAGCUGUUUCAGGCACGCAGCUGAAUAAAGUCAAGCUUUGCGAGUUGCUCAGAAGGGGAUCAGGGGAGUUUGAAAUCCAGCCCACGCUGGGCUUGUUCCCGGGCCCAGGGCUGUAUCAGCCCAGAGGAAGGAGCUCAGCACAGCACGAGUAGAACAAAAGCGCAUGAUUUAAAGAAGGCGACGCCGUGCAGGCUAUCAUUUUUGCCCUUUGCUUCUGUUCUCUGAACCACGACUCACAAGCCUUUCCAAAUUCAGAUUCUUCCCGGGUGGUGUGUACAGCAGACGAGUGGACGGCCUUGGAAUCUGCAGUGUUUCCAGGCCCACGGGGGAUCUCAUCCUUUUCUUUCUUGCAUUUAUAAUGUUCAGUGCUCAUAAUGGCAAACAGUCUCCUUAGCUACACAGAUAUCUCUUCUUUAGCUACUGUUUCCAAAUAAAUGUUUAUUGCCCUUGACUUAA